rnacentral:rRNA from 1 species
CAGUAGCCGCGGGAAUACGUAGGUGGCAAGCGUUGUCCGGAAUUAUUGGGCGUAAAGGGCUCGCAGGCGGUUUCUUAAGUCUGAUGUGAAAGCCCCCGGCUCAACCGGGGAGGGUCAUUGGAAACUGGGAAACUUGAGUGCAGAAGAGGAGAGUGGAAUUCCACGUGUAGCGGUGAAAUGCGUAGAGAUGUGGAGGAACACCAGUGGCGAAGGCGACUCUCUGGUCUGUAACUGACGCUGAGGAGCGAAAGCGUGGGGAGCGAACAGGAUUAGAGACCCCAGUAGUCCCUGUCUCUUAUAA